GUGCUCCUUUCUGCAGCACACAUACUAAAACCAAAAUGACACAGAGAAGAAUCAAAUCACCUUUGCAUGACAACGACACACAAAUUUGUGAACCUUUCUAUAUUCUU